rnacentral:rRNA from 1 species
GAGCGAACGCUAGUGGUGGGCUUAAUACAUGCAAGUCGAACGAAACUCUUCGGAGUUUAGUGGCGGACGGGUGAGUAACACGUAGGUAACCUACCUUUUGGUUGUGGUAUAACUCAGGGAAACUUGAGCUAAUCCCCCUAUUGAUCUUCGGAUUGAAAGUACUUCGGUGCGCCAAGAGAUGGGCCUGCGGCCUAUUAGCUUGUUGGUAAGGUAACGGCUUACCAAGGCUGCGAUGGGUAGCUGGUCUGAGAGGACGAUCAGCCACACUGGCACUGAGACACGGGCCAGACUCCUCCGGGAGGCAGCAGUGAGGAAUACUGGACAAUGGGCGAAAGCCUGAUCCGGCCACGCCGCGGGGUGUGAUGAAGGCCUUCGGGUUGUAAAGCACUGUCGUGGGGGAAGAAGUUGACUGUACCCCACAAGAAAGCACCGGCUAACUCCGUGCCAGCAGCCGCGGUAAUACGGAGGGUGCAAGCGUUGCUCGGAAUCACUGGGCGUAAAGGGAGCGCAGGCGGUUGACUAAGUCAGGUGUGAAAGCCCAGAGCUCAACUCUGGAACUGCAUCUGAAACUGAUAAACUAGAGGAAGAAAGAGGAAAGUAGAAUUCCUGGUGUAGAGGUGAAAUUCGUUGAUAUCAGGAGGAAUACCCGUGGCGAAGGCGGCUUUCUGGUUCUUUUCUGACGCUGAGGCUCGAAAGUGUGGGGAGCAAACAGGAUUAGAUACCCUGGUAGUCCACACCGUAAACGAUGAAUGCUAGACGUCCGGUUCGUUUAUCGGCUGGGUGUCGCAGCUAACGCAUUAAGCAUUCCGCCUGGGGAGUACGGUCGCAAGAUUAAAACUCAAAGGAAUUGACGGGGGCCCGCACAAGCGGUGGAGUAUGUGGUUUAAUUCGACGCAACGCGCAGAACCUUACCCAGCCUUGACAUCCCGAGAAGCAAUCAGAGAUGAUAGCAUGCUGCCGCAAGGGGGAACCCAGUGACAGGUGCUGCAUGGCUGUCGUCAGCUCGUGUCGUGAGAUGUUCGGUUAAGUCCGGUAACGAGCGCAACCCCUAUCCUUAGUUGCCAAUUAUGGAACUCUAAGGAGACUGCCGGUGUCAAACCGGAGGAAGGUGGGGACGACGUCAAGUCCUCAUGGCCCUUACGACUGGGGCUACACACGUACUACAAUGGUAACUACAAUGGGAAGCAAUAUCGCGAGAUGGAGCAAAUCCCCAAAAGUUGCCUCAGUUCAGAUUGUAGUCUGCAACUCGACUACAUGAAGUUGGAAUCGCUAGUAAUCGUAGAACAGCAUGCUACGGUGAAUACGUUCCCGGGCCUUGUACACACCGCCCGU